rnacentral:tRNA from 1 species
GGGGUUGUAGCUCAGUGGUAGAGCACUGGCUUAGCACAUUCGAUCCUCAGCACCACAUAAAAAUAAAUAAAUAAAGUAAAUAUAUUGUGUCCAACUACAACUAAAAAAUAAAUAUAUUUUUUAAAAUGGAUAGAGGAGUGUAGUGGUGCAUACCUGUGAUCCCAGCAACUCCA